CAGCAGCCGCGGGAACACGUAGGUGGCAAGCGUUGUCCGGAAUUAUUGGGCGUAAAGGGCUCGCAGGCGGUUUCUUAAGUCUGAUGUGAAAGCCCACGGCUCAACCGUGGAGGGUCAUUGGAAACUGUUAAACUUGAGUGCAGGAGAGAAAAGUGGAAUUCCUAGUGUAGCGGUGAAACGCGUAGAGACUAGGAGGAACACCAGUGGCGAAGGCGGCUUUUUGGCCUGUAACUGACACUGAGGCGCGAAAGCGUGGGGAGCAAACAGGAUUAGAGACCCGUGUAGUCCCUGUCUCUUAUAC
rnacentral:rRNA from 1 species